AUGCAAGAGAAGCAAGUUGUGGCCUAUACCUCUCGUCAGUUGAAGCCCAACGAAAAGAACUACCCCACUCACGAUCUUGAGUUGGCGGCAGUUGUCCAUGCAUUAAUAACAUGGAGACAUCUCUUGUUGGGAAGACAAGUGGACAUAUUCACCGAUCACAAGAGUCUCAAGUACAUCUUCACUCAGCCCAACCUCAACCUUAGGCAGACUCGAUGGGUCGAAACGAUUCAAGAGUACAAUCCGAGUAUUGAGUAUACUCCAGGAAAGGCCAAUGUCAUUGCAGAUGCUUUGAGCAGGAAGGCUAAUUGCAACAGCUUAAUUCUCAAGCCUUUCCAACCGGAUUUUUGUGAAGCUUUCCGCAAGCUGAAUCUCCAAGUUGUUCCUCAAGGCUUUCUUGCCAACCUCAUAGUCUCUCCUACUUUGGAAGAUCAAAUUCGUGAGGCACAACUCCUGGAUAGCAUGGUGAAGAAGGCGAAACGUGGUAUCGACAAGGGUCUUUCCAAAUACAAGUGCUAUCGCAUUGAUGACAGAGACACUUUAUUCUUCGAGGACCGGAUUGUGGUUCCUAAAGGCGAUCCAAGGAAAGUCAUUAUGAACGAGGCGCACAAUUCUCUUCUUUCCAUUCAUCCUGGAAGUACGAAGAUGUACCAUGACCUCAAGCAGUCGUAUUGGUGGACUCGAAUGAAGCGAGAAAUCGCUCAAUUCGUGAAUGAAUGUGAUGUCUGUCGAAGGGUGAAAGCAGAACACCAAAGACCAGCUGGUCUCCUCCAACCUCUUGCUAUCCCAGAGUGGAAGUUUGAUCAUAUCGAAAUGGACUUCGUGACUGGAUUUCCAAAGUCCAAGCGUGGAAAUGAUGCUAUCUUCGUUGUCAUUGACAAGCUUUCUAAAGGGGCUCAUUUCCUUCCAAUCAAAGAAUCUAUCACAGCAGCUCAGUUGGCAGAGCUAUACACCUCCAGGAUUGUCUCCUUGCACGGCAUUCCACAAUUGAUUUCUUCAGAUCGUUGA
rnacentral:rRNA from 1 species